GCGGCCGUGGCGGAAUUGGCAGACGUGCACGCUUGAGGGGCGUGUGAUUAACAUCGUGCGGGUUCGACUCCCGCCGGCCGCACCA
rnacentral:tRNA from 1 species